rnacentral:rRNA from 1 species
UACGGGGGGAGCAAGCGUUGUUCGGAAUUAUUGGGCGUAAAGAGCUCGUAGGCGGUUUGUCGCGUCUGCCGUGAAAACCCGAGGCUUAACCUCGGGCUGGCGGUGGAUACGGGCAGACUAGAGUGUGGUAGGGGAGACUGGAAUUCCUGGUGUAGCGGUGAAAUGCGCAGAUAUCAGGAGGAACACCGAUGGCGAAGGCAGGUCUCUGGGCCACUACUGACGCUGAGAAGCGAAAGCAUGGGGAGCGAACAGG